rnacentral:misc_RNA from 1 species
GUUGGGGUUUUUGAAUGAAAAUGCAAAGAGAUAUAUUCGGCAACUCCCUCCUUAUCAUCGUCAAUCUUUCACUGAGAAGUUUCCAAAUGUCCACCCAGCAGCUAUUGAUCUUGUUGAAAAGAUGUUAACAUUUGAUCCCAGACAGAGGAUUACAGUUGAAGAUGCACUCGCUCAUCCCUACCUAACAUCACUUCAUGACAUCAGCGAUGAGCCAGUCUGCUUGACCCCCUUCAGCUUUGAUUUUGAGCAGAAUGCAUUGACCGAAGAGCAGAUGAAGGAGCUGAUUUAUAGGGAGGGUCUUGCAUUUAACCCUGAGUAUCAGCACCAAUAUUAAUGAGUACUAAUGAUAUCUAUUCAAUGUGGAUUCAAAUCAGUGUGGUUUUUGUUAAUUGCAUGUUUUUCAGUGAUCUAUUUCUUC